AUCUUAAUACUAUAUAAAUAAAGGUUUUCCAAGUUAGUUAAUUUGCUAUGUAGCACCUCUAACAUUGCAAGACAGGGCCUCAAAUCCGACGUGGCAUGACUGAAAACUUUUCAGGCUGCAGUUACUUUUAUGUUAGCGGUUAUUACAAGUCUCAUGUUUUCUACACAACGAUCCCUUUUUCCAAAUCUAUGGAUUCAGCAUCAGCAAUGGAAUUAUCAAAGGCGUCAACAACGAAUUAGGGUUGGCUUUGAUUUGAGUUACUCUAUAAGGUCACCGGAGAACAAAAGCUCACCGGAGAAAGUGAUCGGAAUCACAGGCUCGCGAAAAAAGAUAUCAAAUCAAGAACUCCAACUGCCAUUGAUUUUAGGAGGAAGAGAAUCAAAUAACUAGCCGGAAUCUCAAUCGUAAUCUCAAUUGGAGGUGUAACCGGAAUCGAAAGCUCAUCGGAGAAUCAACGGCUCUGAUACCACUGUUACGGUUGGAAUUCACAGAAAAGAAGAUAGUUUUUGAUAUCAUUUUCCCAGGUCGUUGACGGCGCAUGGAAAUGAUAAGGUCAAUCGUGUAAUUGUGUAAGAGAUCUCGGUGUUUUAAGGCCUCUUUAUGCCAAGAAAAACAUAUCUGCAAAUCAGGUCUAGCAUUUGUUUGAAGUCUGAAGAUUGGUAAAAAAAAAUUGUAUUAUCCCUUAUCUGGUUUAUUCAACACUUUAGCUAUUAAUGCAUAAAACUUUAACUAAAAUUCACAUUUUACAACGAGGGAUAUGGCAUAUGUCUUAGA